rnacentral:tRNA from 1 species
UGACAGAUGGCGGAACGGUAAACGCGCACUAUCGAUGGCGAAUUGAUAGAUGUUGUACGAAUCAUAUCUGGCUUAUUCUAACGAAGAACACUGCAGGCAUACGCAAAUAAGACCGUGUAAGACCUGACGAGUACCGACCAGAAUGAAAGAGUUGCCGGUUCGAAUCCGGCUCUGUCAA